rnacentral:rRNA from 1 species
AGCUCCAAUAGCGUAUAUUAAAGUUGUUGCGGUUAAAAGCUCGUAGUUGGAUUUCUGUCGAGAACGCGCGGUCCAACCUUUGGUUGAGUAUCUGUGUCGGUCUUGGCAUCCUCUGGAGGAUCGGUUCUGCGCUUGAUUGCGUGGUCCGGAACUUCAGACUUUUACUUUGAGGAAAUUAGAGUGUUCACGGCAGGCAAACGCCUUGAAUACAUUAGCAUGGAAUAAUAACAUAGGACCUUAGCCCUAUUUUGUUGGUUUCUAGAGCUGAGGUAAUGAUUAAUAGGGAUAAUUGGGGGCAUUCGUAUCAUCACGUCAGAGGUGGAAUUCUUGGAUUGUGUUGCGACGAACUACUGCGAAAGCAUUUGCCAAGGAUGUUUUCA